CCGAGUUGCAAAGCUCCCACACCCUCGCGAACCUUACCCGUACCGUUGCUUCGGCGGGCGGCCCCCGCGCCGUAAGGCCUGCCCCCGCGCAGGCGCCCGCCGGAGGUAACCCCCCCAAAACCUCUUGUUUUCCAGCGGCCUCUCUGAGCGGAUUUAGAAGCAAUACGUCA
rnacentral:misc_RNA from 1 species